GCUCAGGAUCAUCAGUGCAGUGUUAACUUCCCGGCCUCCCCUGCCUGUCCCCAGCAACACCCCUCUGGGACACUGUUACCAAGGUGGGUCCAACAAUGCCAACAUCUCCCAGCUUGUUUCCUUCCCCUCUAGAUCCAGAACAUCAUUGUCACAAACCAGGAAUUUGGUCUGAGCCAGGAUGAGCCCAGCAGACCCUAUUAGUACCUGGACUUUGACGGGAUUUUGGGCAUGGCUUACCCAGGUGUUGCGAUCAGUGGUUACAACACCCUGAUGUAGAACAUGCUGCAGCAGAACCAGCUUUCUGAACCCAUUCUAUUACUGCCGUAACCCAAGCUGUGAUUACGACGGGGAGGUCAUCCUCGGAGGCGCUGACACCCAGCUGUACCCAGGGGAGGUUUUAUGGGCACCGGUGGCCCAGGAAGUUUGCUGGAAGAUCGGCGUUGAGGAGUUCUCCUUAGGGCAGUCUGCCAUGGGCUGGUGCAGCCAGGGCUGUCACGGCAUCGUGGACACCGGCACCUUCCUGCUCACCGUCCCGGCACAGAACAUGUCGGCAUUCCUGCAGGAUCUGGGCGCCCAGGAGAGUAAC